CUUCUUAUGCUACAUCUGUACCGUUUUUCAAAAAUUGUUUAUCCACAUUAUUUUCUAUGUGUUAAAACACAAAUGUGGAUCUCUUCAUCCACAGCUGCACAUUGAUAGACUACCGGUCAUCUGUGUUGACUCCAUCCUUUUAGAAGACUCAUCUGCCACAGACGCCCCUCCAUCCACAGACAUGCCUGACCCACAUCAAUUGAUUUGCAAGGAUGACAUCAUUGAGAUCUGCCCCAAAGGUCACUCCAUCUGGAAAUGGAAGUCUCAGCCCACAGUGAAACAUGGGAUGCUGGCAGGUGACGUUUUGUUGGCCACAAACAUUUUGCUGUCUGGAAAUAAUU